CCGCCCGAGGGGAGCAGUUACUCCCCCGGAGCGCCGAGGGCAGGGCCCGAGCCAGGGAUCCAGGGUGGCGGAGGCCGGUUUGGGGUUAGGGUUGGGGUGGGAUUAGGGUAGGAUUAGUGUGGGUUUAGGACGGGGUUGGGCUGAGGUUAGGGGUGGAAUUAGGAUUAGGGUUAGGGUUAGAGUUAGGAUUGGGGUGGGGUCAAGCCUAGGGAAGCAAGCUUUCUGUGUAAGCCCUCUGCUCUGGGACACAGCCUGGACCCAGCGCUCUCGGCCCAGUUGUCCUUCCCACGCGUCCCUUCCCCCUUCGCUCUAAUCAGGCCUUUCCUUGACCGACCCCACCCCUCCCCGCCCAGCAUCGGUACUGCUCUUGUCCGCAUCUCCAGCAAGUUAUUUCAUCUGAUCAUCAAAUAACCCUUUGAAGGGGAAACGGAGGCAGGUGAGGACACACAGCUAAUGGGGAACAGCUGGCAUUCACACCAAGGCAGAUUGACUUCGAUGGCCUCACAUAAGAUGCUCCCCAACAUCAGCUGAAUUGCCCAGCACUUAAAUAGAUUGAAGUCAUCACUCCCAUCCUGGCAACAAGAAGAAAAGCUGAACAAAGAAAAAUCUUCAACUCUUCUAGAUCCUUCAGAGAACUGAAGUCUCAGGACAAUCCACUUCCCAGCAAACUAGAGACAGGCAGGCAGAUGCAGAGAAUUGUAGCAUCCCGGAGCAGAAGCCCACAGAGUUCUUGAACUGCAGUUGAGAAAUUGAAGGGGGCUUAGCGUGGACAUGCUUAAGAGUUAAAAACUCCAGGGCAGCCUCGUUGUAGGGGCCCCACAUGUUCAUGAGUGUUACCUCCAGGAGCUCCACCAGGUUGUCAGAGUGAAAAUCUGAUAAGAACCCUGUCUGCAUCCAACAUGAGAGGGGAAACUGCCUUUUGAACUAUGCUAGAACAUCCUGUUCUUAACAAGAUCUGCCCAUAAGGGAAACUUCUCCCAGAGCCUGACUGGCAGGGAGAUGAAAACAGUCAGCUCUAGCCCUGUCUAGCCCUCCUGUCUCACCUAAGCAGGGAGGGCAGAAAAAAGUCUGAGGAGCACUUGUGGUUUCUGAUGACUGGUUUGGUGUUUGGUAUUCUGACCCUAGGAGGGUCUCCUCUCAGUGGUCUCACCUCUGGUUCUCUCCCGUAAACCACUCAGUCUGGGCUCUGUCUUCCCCAAGUGUCUUUCACCACAUCCAUUAUGCUUGAGGAUGCCCUGAGAUUUAAACUUCCCCAUGGUCAGCUUCAGUCAGCUCCUUGGGGCAGAUGAGUGGGGAGAAAAGAUGAGACUUCCUACUAAGUGUGGUGUUUCUUCUGGGGCAGCUCUGAAGGAGUCCUGAUGUGCAGUCUGUGGUUGUGGCAGCAGGCAGGGGCCACUUCUUAAUGGGGUGGUUCAUGGACCUUGCGGGCUGUUGCUCCUGCCUGCAUAAAAGCCAAUCCCAUUUAUCUGGUAUACCAGAGAUUUUGGGAGUUCCUGGUGUCUUUUAGUCAAUCUCUUUUUGCUUAAAUUAUCUAGACUCUAUCCCAUUUUCUGUAAAUAAAACCAUGGUCUCUCUUCUCAAAAGUCCUGCUUCAUGACCUUAGGACUCAGCAGUAUAAGCAGACAUUGCAGAAAUAAAGAAAAAAGAACAGUAAAUACUUGAACACUAUAUGAACAUUUCUAAUUUCCUAUAUGGCCUAAAGGAAAGAUUGAAUUUCUUGUCAAUGAUGUUUGAGUUUCUGAAAGUUGUUUCUUCCAUAGGCCUAAUGAUAAAUUUGUGAAUUUGUAAAUUAGCAUGAAAUGAAGAAAAGUUGUCACCA